UAUUAAAAAAAUCAUUCAUUUUUACUAUUAAAAAUUAGUGUGACCAAUAAAAUAAUGAGACAGUUACACAUAGUAUACCACAUCUACCUUAUACUGACAUAUAUGUAUUAAUUUUUAAUGAUAAAAAUAGAUAAAAUUAUUAACA
rfam:Gossypium raimondii Chr07_contig_930, whole genome shotgun sequence.